rnacentral:rRNA from 1 species
AGUUUGAUCCUGGCUCAGGAUGAACGCUGGCGGCGUGCCUAACACAUGCAAGUCGAACGGAACUUCUUUGACAGAAUUCUUCGGAAGGAAGUUGAUUAAGUUUAGUGGCGGACGGGUGAGUAACGCGUGAGUAACCUGCCUUUGAGAGGGGAAUAACUUCCCGAAAGGGAUGCUAAUACCGCAUGACGCAUAUUUAUCGCAUGGUAGAUGUGCCAAAGAUUUAUCGCUCAAAGAUGGACUCGCGUCCGAUUAGCCAGUUGGCGGGGUAACGGCCCACCAAAGCGACGAUCGGUAGCCGGACUGAGAGGUUGAACGGCCACAUUGGGACUGAGACACGGCCCAGACUCCUACGGGAGGCAGCAGUGGGGGAUAUUGCGCAAUGGGGGAAACCCUGACGCAGCAACGCCGCGUGAAGGAUGAAGGUUUUCGGAUUGUAAACUUCUUUUAUUUAGGACGAACAAUGACGGUACUAAAUGAAUAAGCUCCGGCUAACUACGUGCCAGCAGCCGCGGUAAUACGUAGGGAGCAAGCGUUAUCCGGAUUUACUGGGUGUAAAGGGUGCGUAGGCGGCUUGGUAAGUCAGAUGUGAAAUGUAUGGGCUCAACCCAUGCACUGCAUUUGAAACUAUUGAGCUUGAGUGAAGUAGAGGUAGGCGGAAUUCCCUGUGUAGCGGUGAAAUGCGUAGAGAUAGGGAGGAACACCAGUGGCGAAGGCGGCCUACUGGGCUUUAACUGACGCUGAGGCACGAAAGCGUGGGUAGCAAACAGGAUUAGAUACCCUGGUAGUCCACGCUGUAAACGAUGAUUACUAGGUGUGGGGGGUCUGACCCCUUCCGUGCCGGAGUUAACACAAUAAGUAAUCCACCUGGGGAGUACGACCGCAAGGUUGAAACUCAAAGGAAUUGACGGA